UCCGGGCUUGGUGGUACAUGCCUAUAGUCCCAGCUACUCCAGAGGCUGAGGAGAGAGGAUUCCUUGAGCGUGGGAGUUCUAGGCUGAUCAGGUGUCCAAACUAAAUUCAUCAUCAAUAUGGUGACCUCCUGGGAGUCGGGGGCCACCAGGUUGCCUAAGGUGGGGUGUACCAGCCCAGGUCAGAAGUGGAGCAGGUGAAAACUGUGAUCAGUAGUCAUCUUGCACCUGUGAAUAGCCACUGCACUCAAGCCUAGGCAAGAUGGUGAGAUCCUGUUUUUU
ensembl:misc_RNA Metazoa_SRP Metazoan signal recognition particle RNA